GGAUGUGAUGGUGAUCUGGCUGCGACAUCUGUCACCCCAUUGAUGGCCAGGGUUGAUUCGGCUAGUCUGGCUGGCUAGGCGGGUGUCCCCUUCCUCCCUCACCGCUACAUGUGUGUCCCUCCCGAAGCUGCGCGCUCGGUCGAAGAGAACGGCCUUACCUGAAUAGAGAAGGACUGGUCUUCAGUUGAGGGUAUACGACUGCACCCUCCUGCUAGAACCUCCAAACAAGCUCUCAAGAGGUUCUGGGUAAGCCCUAGGAGACUAUAACUUAAAAUAGGUUUUCCAGAUGCUGCUGAGGCAGCCAGUCU
ensembl:misc_RNA 7SK 7SK RNA